CCCCUUUCAAGGUCGCACCUGGAGAGUUUCCAGUACUCUACCAGUCUCGGAUACAGGAGGGAGAGUCAAGCAGAGGCCUACCUAUUCCGUUCCUAGCUUGGCCAGCGGUUAACGAGCGGAAGACAAUCCGCUACGAGU